GGAGGCUAUCAUACCAGCACUAAAGCACCGGAUCCCAUCAGAACUCCGAAGUUAAGCGUGCUUGGGCGAGAGUAGUACUAGGAUGGGUGACCUCCUGGGAAGUCCUCGUGUUGCAUUCC
rnacentral:rRNA from 1 species